rnacentral:rRNA from 1 species
GACGUAGGGCGCGAGCGUUGUCCGGAUUUAUUGGGCGUAAAGAGCUCGUAGGCGGCUUGUCGCGUCGAAUGUGAAAUCUCAGGGCUCAACUCUGACAUUGCAUUCGAUACGGGCAGGCUAGAGUUCGGUAGGGGAGACUGGAAUUCCUGGUGUAGCGGUGAAAUGCGCAGAUAUCAGGAGGAACACCGGUGGCGAAGGCGGGUCUCUGGGCCACUACUGACGCUGAGAAGCGAAAGCGUGGGGAGCGAACAGG